rnacentral:lncRNA from 1 species
UGGUUAUUUGUAGCUUUUUAUGCAGCACAUUGGGUUCAGGACCCAAUCCACUAAGGAGUAAUUAAAGGAAUCUGACUUAUGUUUCAACCAUUGCCAAGAUUUAAUUUGUGCUUGCUGAAAUAUUUCUUCUGCAUCUACAACGCCUUGUUGGAACACUACCAAGUUCCUCUGAUCCCAAAUACACCUGACUACCGCUGCCCAAACCCCUUU